CUAGCAGUAUCAGAGUUUGAUCCUGGCUCAGGAUGAACGCUAGCGGCAGGCCUAACACAUGCAAGUCGAGGGGUAGGAGCAGCUUGCUGCUUUGAGACCGGCGCACGGGUGCGUAACGCGUAUGCAAUCUACCUUAUACUAAGGGAUAGCCCGGAGAAAUCCGGAUUAAUACCUUAUGGUUCUUAUGAAUAGCAUUAUUUAUAGAAUAAAGAUUUAUCGGUAUAAGAUGAGCAUGCGUCCCAUUAGUUAGUUGGUGUGGUAACGGCACACCAAGACGAUGAUGGGUAGGGGUCCUGAGAGGGAGAUCCCCCACACUGGUACUGAGACACGGACCAG
rnacentral:rRNA from 1 species